CAAAUACUCCCUCCGUCCGCAAAUACUUGUCAUCAAAAUGGAUAAAAGGAAAUGUAUCUAGACGUAUUUUAGUUUUAGAUACAUCUCUUUUUAUCCAUUUUGAUGACAAGUAUUUUCGGACGGAGGGAGUAGAAA
rnacentral:pre_miRNA from 1 species